AUUGAACGCUGGCGGCAUGCUUUACACAUGCUAGUCGAACGGCAGCGCGGGCUUCGGCCUGGCGGCGAGUGGCGAACGGGUGAGUAAUGCAUCGGAACGUGCCCAGUAGUGGGGGAUAGCCCGGCGAAAGCCGGAUUAAUACCGCAUACGACCUGAGGGUGAAAGCGGGGGACCCAAAGGCCUCGCGCUAUUUGAGCUGCCGAUGUCGGAUUAGCUAGUUGGUUGGGUAAAGGCUUACCAAGGCGACGAUCCGUAGCUGGUCUGAGAGGACGACCAUCCACACUGGGACUGAGACACGGCACAGAAUACUACGGGAGGCAGCAGUGGGGAAUUUUGGACAAUGGGGGCAACCCUGAUCCAGUAAAGCCGCGUGCGGGAAGAAGGCCUUAGGGUUGUAAACCGCUUUUGUUCGGGAAGAAAUCCUCUGGGCUAAUACCCCGGGGGGAUGACGGUACCGGAAGAAUAAGCACGGGCUAAGUACGUG
rnacentral:rRNA from 1 species